rnacentral:lncRNA from 10 species
GGUUAGGCUGGUCUUGAACUCCCAACCUCAUGUGAUCACCUGCCUUGGCCUCCCAUAGUGCUGGGAUUACAGGCGUGAGCCACCGCACCUGGCCUUUUUUGUUUGUUUGAGACGGAGUCUUGCCCUGUCGCCCAGGCUCGAGUGCAGUGAUGCAAUCUUGGCUCACUGCGACCUCCACCUCCUGGGUUCAAGCAAGUCUCUUGCUUCAGCCUCCCGAGUAGCUGGGAUUACAGGUGCACGCCACCAUGCCUGGCUAAUUUUUGUACUUUUUUAGCAGAGACGGGGUUUCACCAUGUUGGCCAGGCUGGUCUUGAACUCCCGACCUUGUGAUCUGCCUGCCUCGGCCUCCCAAAGUGCUGGGAUUACAGGGGUGAGCCACUGCACCCAGCCUGUGUGCGGCUAAGUUUUAAACUUUUCGUAGAAAAGUAGGCAAGGCGGAGUCUUGCUACAUUGCUCAGGCUGAUCUUCAGCUCUUGGGCUAAAACGAUCCUCCUGCCUUGGCCUCCCAAAGUGGCGUCUUUCUUUUGAUGUUGACGUAGCCACUCCAGCUCUCAUGGUUUCUGUUUGGAUAUAAAGGAAAAUCUGUUUUUACUCCUCAUAGGAGUUCUGGCACUGUGUGUGGGUUUUCCACAGCAAGUGAUUCCUCAUCUUGUAGAUACAAACUGGGCAUACUACAAUUUUUUUUUCUUUUUUUUUUUUUUUUUUGAGACGGAGUCUCACUCUGUCGCCCAGGCUGGAGUGCCGUGGCGCAAUCUCAGCUCACUGCAAGCUCCGCCUCCUGGGUUCACACCAUUCUCUUGCCUCAGCCUCCCGAGUAGCUGGGACUACAGGCGCCCACCACCACGCCUGGCUAAUUUGUUUUUGGUAUCUUUAGUAGAGACGGGGUUUCACCGUGUUAGCCAGGAUGGUCUCGAUCUCCUGACCUCAUGAUCCACCCGCCUCGGCCUCCUAAAGUGCUGGGAUUACAGGCAUGAGCCCCUGUGCCCGGCGGCAUCCUACAAU